rnacentral:rRNA from 1 species
AACGAACGCUGGCGGCAUGCCUAACACAUGCAAGUCGAACGAGACCUUCGGGUCUAGUGGCGCACGGGUGCGUAACGCGUGGGAACCUGCCCUUAGGUUCGGAAUAACUCCCCGAAAGGGGUGCUAAUACCGGAUAAUGUCUUCGGACCAAAGAUUUAUCGCCUUUGGAUGGGCCCGCGUUGGAUUAGCUAGUUGGUAGGGUAAAAGCCUACCAAGGCGACGAUCCAUAGCUGGUCUGAGAGGACGAUCAGCCACACUGGGACUGAGACACGGCCCAGACUCCUACGGGUGGCAGCAGUGGGGAAUAUUGGACAAUGGGCGAAAGCCUGAUCCAGCAAUGCCGCGUGAGUGAUGAAGGCCUUAGGGUUGUAAAGCUCUUUUACCCGGGAUGAUAAUGACAGUACCGGGAGAAUAAGCUCCGGCUAACUCCGUG